rnacentral:tRNA from 1 species
GCCUGGGUGGCUCAGUCGGUUGGGCAUCCGACUUCGGCUCAGGUCAUGAUCUCGCGGUCCGUGAGUUCGAGCCUCACGUCGGGCU